ACACAAAACGAAGUUUGCAAAUAAUUGGUGCAGUAUACAUGGUGAGGUGCGACACACUCCUAAUUUAAGGUCCUCUCUUUAGUUAAAUGGAAAUUCUGCAGUCCAGGUGAGGGAUCUCUGAGUGUCCUCAACAAGAAGCACAGUACCCAAUGACCUGUGAUGGCCACGGCUACUGGACCCAUGAUGGAAACGAUUUUGUGAUGAAACUAACUGUGACUGAAGGCCUGCAACUGAAGUGAACCAAGCUGGACCUCCAGCA
rnacentral:lncRNA from 1 species